rnacentral:rRNA from 1 species
UGGGGAAUAUUGGACAAUGGGCGAAAGCCUGAUCCAGCAAUGCCGCGUGAGUGAAGAAGGUCUUAGGAUUGUAAAGCUCUUUUAGCAGGGAAGAUAAUGACGGUACCUGCAGAAAAAGCCCCGGCUAACUCCGUGCCAGCAGCCGCGGUAAUACGGAGGGGGCUAGCGUUGUUCGGAAUUACUGGGCGUAAAGAGCGCGUAGGCGGUCUGUAAAGUUAGGGGUGAAAUCCCGGGGCUUAACCUCGGAACUGCUCCUAAAACUUACAGACUAGAGGAUGAUAGAGGAUGAUGGAAUUCCUAGUGUAGAGGUGAAAUUCUUAGAUAUUAGGAGGAACACCGGUGGCGAAGGCGGUCAUCUGGGUCAUUUCUGACGCUAAUGCGCGAAAGCGUGGGGAGCAAA